GUGGGUAGAACUUUGAUUAAUAUUGCUUGAGAAUAUUAGUCAAAGAUUUUCCCCAUAG
rfam:Drosophila simulans chromosome 3R, whole genome shotgun sequence.